rnacentral:rRNA from 1 species
GGCCAGACUCCUACGGGAGGCAGCAGUGAGGAAUAUUGGUCAAUGGGCGCGAGCCUGAACCAGCCAAGUCGCGUGAGGGAUGACGGCCCUACGGGUUGUAAACCUCUUUUGCCGGGGAGCAACGGGCGCCACGUGUGGCGCCACUGAGAGUACCCGGAGAAAAAGCAUCGGCUAACUCCGUGCCAGCAGCCGCGGUAAUACGUAGGGGGCAAGCGUUAUCCGGAUUUACUGGGUGUAAAGGGAGCGCAGACGGCAGUGCAAGUCUGGAGUGAAAGCCCGGGGCCCAACCCCGGGACUGCUCUGGAAACUGUACGGCUGGAGUACGGGAGGGGCAGGCGGAAUUCCUAGUGUAGCGGUGAAAUGCGUAGAUAUUAGGAGGAACACCGGCGGCGAAGGCGGCCUGCUGGACCGAAACUGACGUUGAGGCUCGAAAGCGUGGGGAGCAAACAGGAUUAGAUACCCGGGUAA